GGGGAAUAUUGGACAAUGGGCGCAAGCCUGAUCCAGCGAUGCCGCGUGGGUGAAGAAGGCCUUCGGGUUGUAAAGCCCUUUUGUUGGGAAAGAAAAGCAGCCGGCCAAUACCCGGUUGUUCUGACGGUACCCAAAGAAUAAGCACCGGCUAACUUCGUGCCAGCAGCCGCGGUAAUACGAAGGGUGCAAGCGUUACUCGGAAUUACUGGGCGUAAAGCGUGCGUAGGUGGUGGUUUAAGUCCGUUGUGAAAGCCCUGGGCUCAACCUGGGAAACGCAGGUGAUUCUGGGUUAAUAGGGUGGGGCAGAGGGUAGGGGAAUUGCCGGUGUAGCAGUGAAAUGCGUAGAGAUCGGGAGGAACAUCAGUGGCGAAGGCGACUGCCUGGGCCAACACUGACACUGAGGCACGAAAGCGUGGGGAGCAAACA
rnacentral:rRNA from 1 species